UACGGGGGGAGCAAGCGUUGUUCGGAUUUACUGGGCGUAAAGGGCGCGUAGGCGGCGUGACAAGUCACUUGUGAAAUCUCCGGGCUUAACUCGGAACGGUCAAGUGAUACUGUCGGACUAGAGUACAGAAGGGGCAACUGGAAUUCUCGGUGUAGCGGUGAAAUGCGUAGAUAUCGAGAGGAACACCUGCGGCGAAGGCGGGUAGCUGGGCCGACACUGACGCUGAGGCGCGAAAGCCAGGGGAGCGAACGGG
rnacentral:rRNA from 1 species